CUUAAACAAUGUUUUUUUACCGAAAAUGUUUGGAUUUUAUAUUUAGUCGAAUUUAUAGUUCUUUAUUUUACCAGGUAGGUUUAAUUUAAACUAAGUAUAUGUUGUGAUAAAUUACUCGGUAGCAUUUAUAUCUGUUUAUUGGUUUUUUUUAUUUUAUUAAUUUUCUGGCUAAGAGGUCUGAAAAUAUUAAAUAUCUUUAUUUGUUAGUUACUAAGAAAGGGUUAAAGUUACCCAGUUUUAAUAAUUGUGUUACAACUUUAUUAUCAAGGCUUAUAGGAUUUUGUGUAGGGACCAAUUAAAUAUUAAUAGUUAGAUUUUAUUAUGAUUAAAUAAGUAAUAAUAUUAUAAGUUUUGUUUCUCGAGAGUUGCCUGUCUGUUUAUUAAAAACAUUUCCACCUGUGUAUUAUAGGUGGUAGUGCCUGCUCUAUGCUUAUGUAAAUGGCCGCAGUAUCUUGACUGUGCGAAGGUAGCAUAAUUAAUUGCCUUAUAAUUGAAGGCUUGUCUGAAUGGUUUGACAAGGUAACGUCUAACAUGAUUUAUAUUUUUGAAUUUAAUUAUGGGGGCACAGAAUCCCCUUAAUUUAAUUAGACGGAAAGACCCCGGGAUCUUUUAUUUUUGUCUGGGGCAGAUUAUAGUUAUUCACUUAUAAGUUUGACCCUAAUGGUUCAUUGGUGUAAGUUACCCCGGGGAUAACAGUGUAAUAGUUUAUUAGAGAUCAUAUCGAAUUAACUGUUUGCCACCUCGAUGUUGACUUAGGUUUAAAUUUGGGCGCAGUAGUUCAAAUUUCAGGUCUGUUCGACCUUUGUUUACCUCCAUGAGUUGAGUUAAGACCGGCGUGA
rnacentral:rRNA from 1 species